rnacentral:tRNA from 1 species
CAAGGAACAGUUUAAUUUUAGAAUCCUAGCUUUUGGGAGCUAGGGGUAGGAGUUAGAAUCUCCUUUCUUUGA